UAAAACUUGCCGUUCCCUUGGAAUCCGAUGAGCGCUGCAUUGUAUCUACUCAUAUUUGAUUUGCCGUGUUCGAUACACUGUACUUGCCGUACCCUUGCAAUCCGAUGAGCGCUGCAUAAUACUUUCUUUGAUUAUCCGAUACACUGGUAAGUUUGUAAACUUUAUUAAAACAUAAUUUAUUACAUUUUAAUCUUAAAUCACAUUUAACGUGAGUAUUGUAAUAAUUCAAAAUUAACGCUUGCCGUCGGAUCUUUUGGUAAAUUUUCUUUUUGUAACACCCUGUAUAUUUGUUUCCAUUUUCAAUCAAAUAGAAAAUGAGCUAUUUCCUAAUCCCGAUAGUACUUCGGGAAGUGCUACUUGCUUGCAUGUGCGCGUUUAUGCAGGUCGGGAGUCCCGUUUCAAUAUGGCGGCGUGUAUUUUGUGCGCCGUAGAACGCGUAUUACAAUAAAUUCGGAAUAAUUUU